rnacentral:sRNA from 1 species
UUUUUGUUGCGUUAACGAUAGAAACGGCAUCCUUUUUUUGCUCUUACCAUGUUGCAAGUAGCAAAAAAAGAUAUAGUGUAUAGCGUGUUAAAAC